AGGAUGAACGCUGGCGGCGUGCUUAAUACAUGCAAGUCGAGCGGUAAGGCCCCUUCGGGGGUACACGAGCGGCGGACGGCUGAGUAACGCGUGGGAACGUACCCCAAAGUGAGGGAUAAGCACCAGAAAUGGUGUCUAAUACCGCAUGUGCUCUAAGGAGUAAAGCUCCGGCGCUUUGGGAACGGCCUGCGUUCGAUUAGCUUGUUGGUGAGGUAAUGGCUCACCAAGGCGACGAUCGAUAGCUGGUCUGAGAGGAUGACCAGCCAGACUGGGACUGAGAACGGCCCAGACUCCUACGGGAGGCAGCAGUAGGGAAUUUUCCACAAUGGGCGAAAGCCUGAUGGAGCAACGCCGCGUGCAGGAUGAAGGCCUUAGGGUUGUAAACUGCUUUUAUGUAUGAAGAUUAUGACGGUAGUACAUGAAUAAGGAUCGGCUAACUCCGCGCCAGCAGCCGC
rnacentral:rRNA from 1 species